AGUCGAACGGUAGCAGGUAAGUACUUGUACUUAUGCUGACGAGUGGCGGACGGGUGAGUAAUGCUUGGGGAUCUGGCUUAUGGAGGGGGAUAACGACGGGAAACUGUCGCUAAUACCGCGUAGAAUCGAGAGAUGAAAGUGUGGGACCUUCGGGCCACAUGCCAUAGGAUGAACCCAAGUGGGAUUAGGUAGUUGGUAGGGUAAUGGCCUACCAAGCCGACGAUCCCUAGCUGGUCUGAGAGGAUGACCAGCCACACCGGGACUGAGACACGGCCCGGACUCCUACGGGAGGCAGCAGUGGGGAAUAUUGCGCAAUGGGGGCAACCCUGACGCAGCCAUGCCGCGUGAAUGAAGAAGGCCUUCGGGUUGUAAAGUUCUUUCGGUGACGAGGAAGGCGUGAUGUUUAAUAGGCAUCACGAUUGACGUUAAUCACAGAAGAAGCACCGGCUAACUCCGUGCCAGCAGCCGCGGUAAUACGGAGGGUGCGAGCGUUAAUCGGAAUAACUGGGCGUA
rnacentral:rRNA from 1 species